AGAAGACAAAAAUCUGGAAGGGGGUUCAGGAGCUUUAUGGACAAAAUCUGGUGAUACCCUGCCUUGGCUAGAUGCCUAGACUGGACCAGGAUCCCCAACAAUGGAAUGCCUUCUGCACAAAAUUUCUCAAUGCUGCCAGGAGAAAAAAAGGCAUGACACCAACUGGGACCUUAUUUUAAUUCCUACUCUAAUGGCUUCAUUAUGGUGGUGACCUCAAUUUCCAAAAGUCUAUAUCAUCUUUGACAAGCUGGAAAGU